AGAUUGUUUCUAGUGGCGGACGGGUGAGUAACGCGUGGGUAACCUGCCUUAUACAGGGGGAUAACAGUCAGAAAUGACUGCUAAUACCGCAUAAGCGCACAGAGCUGCAUGGCUCGGUGUGAAAAACUCCGGUGGUAUAAGAUGGACCCGCGUUGGAUUAGCUAGUUGGUGAGGUAACGGCCCACCAAGGCGACGAUCAGUAGCCGGCCUGAGAGGGUGAACGGCCACAUUGGGACUGAGACACGGCCCAGACUCCUACGGGAGGCAGCAGUGGGGAAUAUUGCACAAUGGGGGAAACCCUGAUGCAGCGACGCCGCGUGAAGGAAGAAGUAUCUCGGUAUGUAAACUUCUAUCAGCAGGGAAGAAAAUGACGGUACCUGACUAAGAAGCCCCGGCUAACUACGUGCCAGCAGCCGCGGUAAUACGUAGGGGGCAAGCGUUAUCCGGAUUUACUGGGUGUAAAGGGAGCGUAGACGGAAGAGCAAGUCUGAUGUGAAAGGCUGGGGCUUAACCCCAGGACUGCAUUGGAAACUGUUUUUCUUGAGUGCCGGAGAGGUAAGCGGAAUUCCUAGUGUAGCGGUGAAAUGCGUAGAUAUUAGGAGGAACACCAGUGGCGAAGGCGGCUUACUGGAC
rnacentral:rRNA from 1 species